CUUGAUGGGGUUUUUCAGUUUCUUGCCUCAGAGGAUAGUUUGAGGUAGCACACAGCAGCACUGUCUCCUGUUUCUGUUUCCAAUUUUUAAGGUCAUGAUUAGAUCUUCAUUUGAAUCCUCCCAUAAGAAAUAAGAGAAAUGUGACCUGCUGACUGAUUCUGCAACCUCUGUUGUGGGUCAUGCUGGACCUUCCUGAUGACUUCUCAUGGUCUCUCUUGUCUUCCUCAGCCUGGAGCCAGCCUCAAACAUACAACAAAAUCCAUUCAGGAACUAAUAUCAAAGGAGCAAGGUUUUUCAGCUAUGGUAGAUGCAAACCUUCCACCCACGCCCUGCAGAUGAUGGGCAUCUAGAAUAAGGAAAGAGAGGAAAUAUGCUGCAUUACCUGUAGGAGGUGUGCCUGCUUUUGCUAACAGAUGUUCCUGCUUCGUGGAUGAAUGCCUAACUGGUCAGAUCCUUUCUUGAUGAACGGUGGUAUCUCUGGGACUUGUCUGCAUAGCAGAACCAGGAUGUCUCUGCCCCCUCCAUUCCCUGAUUUCAGCUGAUGAAGUCUCCUCAUAAAUCCCAGAUGCGAUAGCAGCAGCUUGACCCAUCACUUCAUUACAUCAACUUGCAAAGCUCUGUAUUGUGCUGAGGAGGAGCCUAUCUGGUCAGAAUGGAUCCAAUCCAGGAAGAAAUAAAGGAAUCUGGUUAUUUCUGGGAGCAGUGUGACGCAGAGCACUUUAAAAAGAUACGUCGACUUCCAGAAAGAUUUUGUCAAACGACACAACUGAUGAAGACUUCAAACUCACCAGACAGUACUGUCCCAAGGAACAGAAGACAAGGUAACCAAGCUCUCUGCAUAAGCAUGUAUGGUUUAUUCUACUUCCACAGUCUAUAGACUUCUGGAAAAUAGCUGUUUACACAUCACUGGUGCUCCUCCCACAGCUUCAGUUCCUAUAGACAACCUUUAGUACCUUCAGUGUACACUAUUGAUGAGUGAAGAGGAAUGUGGCAAACAUUCCUUAUUUUUCCUCAUUUAAUUUGACUCUACAGUCCUUAAAAGAUCUGAGCAGUUAGAAGCCAGUGUGGAUGGACUAUGUGACCCAUUAGUUUGGCCCUGUGCAACAGUAGAGUUCUUGUAUUUCUUCUAUGGAUCAACUGACAUUGAGGGGAAAUCAGUAAUCAGUAAUGUUAUCUCCUGAUCCCAGGGCUCAGGGGUGUCCAAAGAGGGACAGUGGUAUUAAACUAAGCAGACUGGAAUAAACACAGAACCGUGGCAUGUACUGGCA
rnacentral:lncRNA from 1 species